GGAUGCGAGGGUGAUCUGGCUGAGACAUCUGUCACCCAAUUGAUCGCCAGGGUUGAUUUGGCUGAUCUGGCUGGCUAGGCAGGUGUCCCCUAUCUGCCUCAUCACUCCAUGUGCGUCCCUCCCAAUGCUGCAUCCAAGAGGAUGGCUUUCCCCAAAUAGAGACGGACAGGUUUUCUGUCCAAGGGUAUAGGAGUAGCUGCGCUCCCCUGCUAGAACCUCCAAACAAGCUCUCAAGAAUACAAGUGAUUUAUGGGUAAAUGGGUUAGGACUAGCUUUCAUCUGUGCUUUCAAUUCUCAUAUAUAAAUAUUCUGAAUAUUUAUUCUAGUG
rnacentral:snRNA from 1 species